GCAGUUGACAUUGAAAAUAUGAGAUUUCCCAGAUCGAAAAAGCAUCAUUGAGUGCAGCGUUGAUGAAAUUCUGUAGGAUUGAUCGAUUUCACCAGCGCUGCAUUCAAUCAUGUUUUUCGUUCUAUUGGGUUGCAACAAUGCCAUUAAGAGGAUACCAGCAGGACAAGUUUUUUUUUUUUUUUUUUUUUUGGGG
rnacentral:miRNA from 1 species